GUGCGGCGGCGGGAACCGGGGCAGAAUUCUCCGGGCUCGGCUCGGAUCGGCCUGGCCCGGUCCUAGGCCCGCGCUGCCGCCAGCGGCGCUCCAUCAGCCCCACGGCCGCCGUGGCGGGCCCAGCUCGGGAGAGCGGCGCCCCGGGCACGUGUUGCUCGGGGAUGUUCGGCCGUGACAGGGCAGAAGUGUUCCCGCAGCGGUUCGGUUCCGGCGAGGCGCCGCGGGGCUCCUGGCUUGAUGCCGCACCCGACCUGGCCAUAGCGCCUCCAGGAAAGGUGAUCGGCUCGCCUGGCCGAUCCCGGCUGAGCGUUUGCUGCUGCUGGUAAAGCUUCCAGGUCGUAGAAUACCCCGAGCUGGAAGGGACCUACAAGGAUCAUCGAGUUCAACUCCUGCACAGGACACCCCAACGAUCCCACCCCGAGUAUCCCUGAGAGUGUUGUUCAAAUGCUCCUGGAGCUCUGGCAGCCUUGGGGACAUGACCAAACCCUGGGGAGUCUGUUCAGUGCCCCAGCCCCCUCUGGGGGAAGACCCUUUCCCUGAUCCCCACCCUAACCCUCCCCUGGCCCAGCUCCAGCUGUUCCCUGGGUGCUGUCCCUGUCUUAGGGAGCAGAGAUUGGAGCUGCCUCCUCGGCAGGAGCUGCAGCCCUGGUGAGGUCUAACCUUAAUCUUGCCUUCUCCAGCUGAGCAAACCAAGUGCCCUCAGCCACUCUUUGUAGGGCCCCUCCAGACCCUUCACCAUCUUCACUGCCCUCCUUUGGACAUUCUCUAAUUGCUUAAGAUCUUUCUUGUAUCGUGGCGCCUGAAACUGCACGGGAGACUUGAGGAAGGAAACUAGUCCAGAGCACCUGCCACCAGGAGCCUGGCUGUCAACAUCUUUGGAGUCAGGGAGGCACAGCAGAACUGAGCACUGCCAGUUUGUGCCCGGCCACAAACACAGCCCUCCCUCCCCAAUGAGAAGAAAGAGAGAGGAAAAGCAUAAGGGGAAGCAAGCUUAAUAUUUAAUAUAAACUAAAAGUUUGGUCAGACAAGAAGACAGUGGAAAAUAAGUUAAAUUUAUGGAAAACAAAAUUACUCUGGAAAGCAGGUAGAUUAAGCUAGAUUUAAAGAGCAGUUAAUCAAAGACACAAGACAAACAAAGUGUUUUUCAUCAACCAGCAGCAGAAAGCCUGCAGGAUUCAUCAAUCUUCUUGCUUAGCCCUGAGACACAAUGUGUUCCACAGUUCCCAGAUGCUGGUUGUGUAAGGAAGGGUUAAUGGCAGUUGCUAUUAAGGCCAGUGACUCAUUAUCCAACCUGAACUGAGGCAAAUUAGGAGUGGCUCCCUCAAAGGAAGGAACUGAACAGUCAUUAGGAAGAGCUAACAAAUAACCAUGUCAGAGCAAGAGCAGAGGUGAAUGUUAUCAGUUUAGUCUUGGUUGCUCUGUUAAGGAAAGUCAGUCCCACAGCAAGAUGAACAUGGACACAGACUGUGGAAAAGACUAGCCACUGUGACCUGAAAGCUUGGUGCGUCUUGCUGUGGACCUGCUGCCCCCAAACUUCCCCAUUCUUGCUGCUGUAGAAGAGCUCCCAACCUUCACCUCACUGCCAGGUCUACAGGUGGCCAUGGGCUCACCCUGUGGGCAGGUGCUUUUCUGCAUUGCUACUUCAGCACUUGCGGUUCUAGGCAUGCCUUCACUUAGUCAGAAAAAGUUGCAAAAAUAAAAUAAAUUGAAGAAAAAAUGUUGAGGUUUGAAAAAGUAUUUGGGAUAAAAUUUGUCACUUGUUGCAAUCUUGCUCUGAUUUUGUAUCAUCAUAUUUGUUACCAUGUGUGACAUCCCUUUCUUGUCUCUUACAUUGCUGCAAUUAAACUAUACACCAUCACACAACCUUUAUAGGAGGAGGUUUUUCGUGUUCAGGUAUCUCCACAAAAUAUCAACAAACACCAUCUUGCUUAAGCAUAUAAUAACUUUUUUUAAAUAUCCAUGAUAUUUCGGAUGGAAGAUUUUCCUCUUAGGACAAAGAUGUGAAUGUAGAAGGCACAUCACUGAGUUAUUUAAAACUCUUAUUGGUCUCUGCAUCAGCUCUCUAGGGACCACCAAUCCAAAGAAAAGAUUAUUCAAAAGGUAGCAUACUUUACUGGAGCCACUGCUAUGCUCAAACUCAACAUUUCUGAUUGUCCAUAGAGGCCAGCCCUUGAGAAGUUUGGCCCUUGGCGUAUGUGGGGUAAUGUGGAGUAUGAUGGUGUUGCUCCAGCAAACUUUUAGGGCAAGAAAAUGACUGACAGUGAGUCCUCCAAGUGCCUGGGAGAAGCAGGCUGGAGGAGGAGGGGGCAAAGACACUGGCUGAAAGAAUUCUUCCUUUCAGAGAACAAGCGGCGCUUUCACAGCAGUGGAUGCUCAGCCACAGCACACUCUACACAGAUUACAUCAGGGCCAUUAGCUGCCUUUGAUUAGUUUUAAGAAACAAAAGCAUGAAAAUUUUAAGUUCUAAACUUGAAUUUUCAAGAGAAAAAGUAUAAAUAAUAAGGGCAUUAUGGAGCAGGCAGUGGGAGCUGUUGGGGAGCAGUAGCACUGCUGCUUCAAAAACCUGGAACAGUAAGUAGUGUGCUGUUCCUGUGGCAGUGGUUUGAGACAUACAAAAAGCCUGUGUUUAAAGCCUAUUCUACUGCAGUUUUUGUGAGACUAUCAAUAAUAUUGCAAAAAGAUACUAGUAGAAUUCUACAGGUUGAUAUUAUAACAGAUAAGAUGCACUUGCCAGUGGUAUUGUGAGAGCACAUCUGAGGUAAAAUACAUCUACUGCGGCCAUUUCAGAAGGGCAGCUAUCACUUGGAACACUUUAAAAACAUGUCAUUUUUGUUGGCAUUUUUGAGAUUAACACAAGUAUCUCAGGCACGGAAGUAACAGAAUUAGCUACCUAAAUGUGGGGUAGGGCUGCCAGGUUUGGGAAUACCAUCCAUGCCAGACCUUCACUCACAGUUUGCUACAGCAGCUGAUAGCUUCAUCUUGCCCAAACGCACAGCAGCACAGUCUGCCAGCACACCACCUGUAGAUGUGGAUCACUCAGUUAUGUGUCUCACCAUGGUCUGCCCAUAUUUCAUCCCUACAGUUCUUGCUGCAGAGUCUAACAUGGAGGUAUUUAAAAACAUUAAAUUUAUUUGAAAUGCAAAGUAUAAAGUUCUGGUGCUGCGACUACUUGAAUCAGCACACAGAAUGAAAUGAGGUUCAUAAAUGCAGAGUUUUCAAAGUAGUGGCCUGAACACAAGGGAUACUUUGUGCUGUUGCCUUUCCUGUCACAUAAUGGCUCUCCCAUGUCCAUCCCAGAGGCACAGCCACCACUCCUGGGACAGGGUGCUCCUUGAGCUGGUGCAUUUGGAGAAGCAGACAAUCUUCCUGUUGUCCAGAACUGGACCACGAGCCACCAAUUAGACUGCUCUGAACGGCAGCAUUCUGUUCAAAGCGCUGCUAAUUGUAUUUUAAUGAUAAUUUAAAUGCUGCUGCUAUUUUCAGAGACAUCCAGAUCAGUAAUUACUCAUAGUCUAUGUUGAGCUUUAAGCAGGCACAGGCACAGCACUGUAGAAGCAUCAACUAAUGCUAUUAAUGUUCUCAAAGUCCUUCACUGCCCUCCCACAUGUCAAGAGCAUCGUCUCCGUUCCCAGGCCCAAGCCCAGCCUGGGCUGUUCACAUCUGGGAUCCAGCAGCCCAGCUGCACCACAGGUUGUUGCAGCAUUGUGGAAGUAAGGAAAGAGAAGCAGUGAAUCAAAUUUACCUACAUUCAUUAAACAAAAUUCUACCAAUAUUAAUAAAAAUCAACUAAAGUUCUUACAACAAGGCCACUUCAGAUCAUUUUUCCAUUAAGAUAAAAUACUAGCUCGAUUGAACUCCAUCCCUGAACACGGCAUGGUCAGAAUGUUUGAAUAAACUCACCAGAAAUGCAGAUCCUAACAAGCUGCUUGCACAGCCAGGAAGAACAUCAAUAUGUUAGAGCAAGUCCAGAGGAGGCCGCCAAGAUGAUGAGAAGGAUGGAGCACCUCUGCUACAAGGAAAGGCUGAGAGCGUUGGGGCUGUUCAGCCUGGAGAAGAGAAGCUUCAGGCUGACUCAGUUGCAGCCUUCCAGCACCUGAAGGGAGCUUACAAGAGAAAUGGAAAGAGGCUGUUUACAAGGAGCUGGAGUGACCAAACAAGGGAGAAUGGCUUCAGACUGACAGAGGACAAGUUUAGGUUAGAUAUUAGAAAUUCUUGGCUGUGAGAGUGGUGAGGCCCUGGCAAAGGCUGCCCAGAGAAGCUGUGGCAGCUCCAUCCCUGGAAGUGUCCAAGGCCAGGUUGGACAGGGCCUGGAGCAUCCCGGGAUAGUGGAGGAUGUCCCUGCCCAUGGCAGGGGUGGCACUGGAUGAUCUUUGAGGUUCAUUCCAAGCCAUUCAACUCUAGGGUUCUCUGACUCUGUCCUUGCUGUUGCAGCAGGAGCAAUGAUGUGGUGGGAAUGUGGCUGGCCUGCAGAGCUCACACUGCCAGAGCUGUGCUGUGCAGUGAGUCCAAGGGAGUAGAGUUUCCAAGGCUAGCAAAUCAAUACCUGCCAUAAGCAUGAAAUUCCUUCCCAAAUGUUUACUUGUAUUCUGUACAAGAUGCUCAUAGUGUGUAGAGGAAUCUAUUCUCCAGAAAAAAUAUUUAGAGUUCAAGUCACAGUUUUCCCUUUCAGAAAUUCAGCCAAAACACACCAAAUGUGCUAACCAUGGGCAGUGUAGUGCUGGUCAGGAUGUUUAUACAUAAAACACUCUGUCAGUGAGAGUAAAGCACAUAUCUUGCCUGUGUAAUUGAUAUCUACAAAUGGGGAAGCUGGUUGAACCCUGUUCAAAAAUACGUGCUUUUACGAGAACGUAGGUUAGCUUUAGUACAGUGGAUUUUACAUGCCAAACCUAAGCGGUCAAAAUUCGGAAGAGACUGUUAAUGAGACUGUUAAUGAUGCAGGAACAAAAGGGAGGCUUUUUUUCUCAUUGGAAAAUAAAAUGCAUGUAAACAAAUCCUAAUGCUGUUUGGUUUUGUUUGGUUUUGUUUUGUUUUGUUGUUUGGUUUUUUUUUUUUUGUGAAGAUUUAUUUGAGAUUAAUCACUUAAUUAUAGUCCUAGACUAUAUUAGUCUGUAUUAGUUUCACAAGUCUACCCUCAGUUUGAUGUGAGAUUGCUGGCCUAGGACAAGAGUGAGGAGCUUGCUCCAUUCUCUGACCAGGCACAUGGUGAAGAGAGUGGGAUUCUCUGUGCACUCCUUCCCCCAGUGGUGUUGUGCCUGGAGCUGCAAGAGCACCUCUGCCUGAGCAAGCCCCUGAAACAGCCUUAAAGGAGACAUUUGCUUGUGCAGCUCAGGUGGCUGCUACAGAGCAAUGAGAUUCGCAUGUGGGAAAAAUUUUACAUGCAAUUUUUUGCAGCAAACUUACCUGAGAGUUUUACUUUCUAUAUAAAUCAUCUGUCUUGCUUGUCUGAGGAAGCUUUUAAGUGUGUUUUUUGUGUGUGUCUCCAUUUUCUGAGGGCUGUACAAGCCGUGGCAACUUUG